UGGGAACCUGCGGCUGGAUCACCUCCUUAAUCGAAGACUCAGCUUCUUCGCAAGUUCCCACACGAAUUGCUUGAUUCAUUGAAGAAGACGAUAGAAGCAGCUUUAAGCUCCAAGCUGAUAGCUCACGCUAACAGUUACAAGCUCGAAAUUGGGUCUGUAGCUCAGUUGGUUAGAGCGCACCCCUGAUAAGGGUGAGGUCGGCAGUUCGAAUCUGCCCAGACCCACCAAUUUUGUUAUGGGGCCAUAGCUCAGCUGGGAGAGCGCCUGCCUUGCACGCAGGAGGUCAACGGUUCGAUCCCGUUUGGCUCCACCAUAACUGCUUCUGAAUUGUGAAAGCUUAGAAAUGAGCGCUCCAUCCGUUGGGAUGAUGAGUGUUGAUUUCUGGUCUUUUGACUGGAUCGUUCUUUAAAAAUUNGGGUAUGUGAUUGAAAUAUAGACUGGGCACCUCUUUCACUGGUGCGUGUCCAGGCUAAGGUAAAGUUUGCGAAAUGCAAACUUUCGGCGAAUGUCGUCUUCACGGUAUAACCAGAUUGCUUGGGGUUAUAUGGUCAAGUGAAGAAGCGCAUAC
rnacentral:tRNA from 1 species